UACGUAGGCAGCAAGCGUUGUUCGGAAUUACUGGGCGUAAAGAGUGUGUAGGCGGUGCUCUCAGUUCGGUGUGAAAUCUCCCGGCUUAACUGGGAGGGUGCGCCGGAAACUGGAGUGCUUGAGCGCGGGAGAGGAAAGCGGAAUUCCUGGUGUAGCGGUGAAAUGCGUAGAUAUCAGGAGGAACACCUGUGGUGUAGACGGCUUUCUGGACCGUAGCUGACGCUGAGACACGAAAGCGUGGGGAGCAAACAGG
rnacentral:rRNA from 1 species